UUGGGUCUUUUCUUAAACAGGAACACUCCUAUGAUCCUGAGGGUAAUACUGGCUUCAUUGCAUGGAGGAUCAAGACAGUUCAACAUAACACCUGUGCUGGCUCCCGGUGUCAUUCCAAGACUGUUCCUCAGGAUGGUCCAAAAACCAGAUGAGAAUCUCUGUUAACCUGUCAACAGCUAUUUGGUGAGGAUUGCAGGGAUGUGAUAUCUAAAAUACGAUAUUCCACUGAUGAAUCUGUGGUAAAAGAGAAAAUGAGAGCAACUUUCCAGUAUUGACAGAAGAUGGUCGGUGAGGAUGCAUCAUCUUCAGUCCUGGAUUUGUUCCCUCGUUUCCUUGCUGUAUCUGGAUUGGUAAGAAAAUCUUUAGCUUUGGAAGUAGUUUUGAAAAGGAAAUUACCUUCUCUGUAGUUAUUAAAAUGAGUUCACUGGUACAGUAGAGAAAGGAGUUGUUCAAUGAUCACCGUAACACCAACAGGCCGGUCCAAACUGAGAAAUUCAACGUUCUAAUCUUUUAUAUCCCAAAUAUAUGCAUAAAUAACACAGCAGAUCUUAAUUUUUAGUAUUUGGCCUUUCAUCCAUUUAUGUCCGUUAUGUUUAAACCUGUAUAAACCUUCUUUAUAGAUCGACCAGGAUUUCUCCAUGAUGUUUGGUGACGAAGUGUCUCAGAAGUUCCUGGCAAAGUAGUCAACAUUCUUCAAGCCAAAAAUCAUUGCAGACUGCAAGACUCAAGAAUAUGGGCGAGCUGCUGUCAGGAACUGAACCUGAAUCUGAGGACUACAAUGGAUGGGACAGCGAUAUGUCCUCAAUCCUUUUGCUGCUGCAUCUGCUCCCUCCAACCUCAAGAGGCCAGAAAAAACAUCCAAGAUCAGUUCAGCUCAAGCAACCAGCCAUCUUGUGAGAUAUCUUAAGGAAGGAGCCAGUGUGACUACCUUCAUUGAGAGUGCUGACACAAGACAACCAUUCCUUCUCUGCAUCGGUGAGUGAAAGAAGGAUAUCCAAAAGUUCUACGUUAUUAUCGACCCAAAACCGAUCCCAUGUAAGGCGUACACAUCAAUGGCAGCUUUUGAUGAACUGUUCAAAGCUCACUAUGUCUUCAGUUUCUCAUUUGAUGAAGCUCUUUGUGAUUUCUAGACAUUUAUCCAAACCACUAUCUAUAACAUCGAUGUCGGAAGAGCAAAGCAGAGCCUGCGUGUUAAAGAACUUCGAGCAUGAUUGCUGCAGCGAGAUUAACAGCCUUGAAGAUGUUCACGUGUUUUGUAUGUAAAGCACACCUCAGAACUUGUUUGGUUCUUCGUCAACAUUUAAAAUUUCAACGUGGAUUAUAUCCUAGCAAAAAGUUACGUUUAAAAUGUGGAGAGCCAGGCUGCCCGUUAUCAUUUUGUAUUUAUAGUGGCUUCUGAAAACACCUCAGCAAGGUACAUAGUCACACUAUGGAUCAAGAGGUUGAUACUAAUCAGGAUCUUUCCACUCAGGGAGAAUAUGAGGCGGAAUGUUCAAAUGAUCGCCCAAAUUCUGU